CCUACGGGUGGCUGCAGUGAGGAAUAUUGGUCAAUGGGCGCAAGCCUGAACCAGCCAAGUAGCGUGCAGGAUGACUGCCCUAUGGGUUGUAAACUGCUUUUAUACAGGAAUAAAGUGAGGCACGUGUGCCUUUUUGCAUGUACUUUAUGAAUAAGGACCGGCUAACUCCGUGCCAGCAGCCGCGGUAAUACGGAGGAUCCGAGCGUUAUCCGGAUUUAUUGGGUUUAAAGGGAGCGUAGAUGGGUUGUUAAGUCAGUUGUGAAAUUUUGCGGCUCAACCGUAAAAUUGCAAUUGAUACUGGCAGUCUUGAGUACAGUGGAGGUAGGCGGAAUUCGUGGUGUAGCGGUGAAAUGCUUAGAUAUCACGAAGAACUCCGAUUGCGAAGGCAGCUUACUAAACUGUCACUGACGUUGAUGCUCGAAAGUGUGGGUAUCAAACAGGAUUAGAUACCCCAGUAGUC
rnacentral:rRNA from 1 species